UUUAAAUUGAGAGUUUGAUCCUGGCUCAGGAUGAACGCUGGCGGCGUGCUUAACACAUGCAAGUCGAGCGAUGAAGUUUCCUUCGGGAAACGGAUUAGCGGCGGACGGGUGAGUAACACGUGGGUAACCUGCCUCAUAGAGUGGAAUAGCCUUCCGAAAGGAAGAUUAAUA
rnacentral:rRNA from 1 species